GAUGAACGCUAGCGAUAGGCCUAACACAUGCAAGUCGAGGGGCAUCACAUGAGGCAGCAAUGCCGAUGGUGGCGACCGGCGCACGGGUGAGUAACACGUAUGCAACCUGCCUUCAACAAGGGGAUAACCCGUUGAAAAACGGACUAAUACCCUAUAAUACAGGGGUCCCGCAUGGGGAUAUUUGUUAAAGGACAACCGGUUGAAGAUGGGCAUGCGUUCCAUUAGCUAGUUGGCGGGGUAAGGGCCCACCAAGGCAACGAUGGAUAGGGGAACUGAGAGGUUUAUCCCCCACACUGGUACUGAGACACGGACCAGACUCCUACGGGAGGCAGCAGUGAGGAAUAUUGGUCAAUGGACGCAAGUCUGAACCAGCCACGUCGCGUGAAGGAAGACGGCCCUACGGGUUGUAAACUUCUUUUAUACGGGAAUAAAGUGCCCCACGCGUGGGGUUUUGCAUGUACCGUAUGAAUAAGGAUCGGCUAACUCCGUGCCAGCAGCC
rnacentral:rRNA from 1 species